rnacentral:rRNA from 1 species
CAGUAGCCACGGUAAUACGGAGGGUGCAAGCGUUAAUCGGAAUUACUGGGCGUAAAGCGCACGCAGGCGGUUUGUUAAGUCAGAUGUGAAAUCCCCGAGCUUAACUUGGGAACUGCAUUUGAAACUGGCAAGCUAGAGUCUUGUAGAGGGGGGUAGAAUUCCAGGUGUAGCGGUGAAACGCGUAGAGAUCUGGAGGAAUACCGGUGGCGAAGGCGGCCCCCUGGACAAAGACUGACGCUCAGGUGCGAAAGCGUGGGGAGCAAACAGGAUUAGAUACCCCGGUAGUCCCUGUCUCUUAUAC